rnacentral:lncRNA from 1 species
GUGAUAAAACAUACUGGUUCAAAGGUUUCAUUCUGCUUGCUCCACUUAAAGUGAGAUACUCUUGAAAAAAGGAUUUGCAAUCUCCCCUAUGGAUUUCAAAAUACCAAUGUGGAUCUAGAAUCUAGUUUAUUACUUCAAACGUGCUCAGUUCUCACAGACGAAGUUGACAGCAUACCACCUUGGACGUCUCUACUUGCCCGAUGGUCACUCCUCAACUGUGCCGGGUAUGUGAGUCUUCUCUAUUCAGACUCAAGGGCAAGACUUCUCUCUUUUACCUCUUUUGUUUC